GUUCAAACGAGGAAGGGCUUACGGUGGAUACCUAGGUACCCAGAGAUGAGGAAGGGCGUAGUAAGCGAUGAAAUGCUUCGAGGAGUUGAAAAUGAGCAUAGAUCUGGAGAUUCCGGAAUAGGUUAACCUUUUUAACUGUUGAUUAAUCCAUGGGUAGGCAAGAGACAACCUGGCAAACUGAAACAUCUUAGUAGCCAUAGGAAUAGAAAGAAAAAGUGAUUCUCGUAGUAGCGACGAGCAAAAUGGGAGAAGCCUAAACCGUGAAAACAGGGUUGUGGGAGAGCACAAUAUAAUAUCUAUUCUGCUAGGCGAAGUGGUUGAGUCCUGCACCAUAUAUGGUGAGAGUCCAGUAGCCUAAAGCAUCAUUGGGUUACAAUCUAACCUGAAUAGCAUGGGGCAUGUGGAAUCCCGUGUGAAUCAACAAGGACCACCUUGCAAGGCUAAAUACUCUUGGGUGACCAAUAGUGAAGUAGUACCGUGAGGGAAAGGUGAAAAGAACCCCCAUCGGGGAGUGAAAUAGAACAUGAAACCGUAAGCUCCCAAGAAGUGGGAGGAAAAUGAUAUCUCUGACCGCGUGGCUAUUGAAGAAAGAGCCAUCGACUUAUAGGCAAUGGCUUGUUUAAGGGAACCCACCGGAGCCGUAGCGAGAGCGAGUCUUCAUGGGGAAAUUGUCACUGCUUAUGGACCCGAACCUGGGUGAUCUAUCCAUGACCAGGAUGAAGCUUGGGUGAAACUAAGUGGAGGUCUGAACCGACUGAUGUUGAAAAAUUAGUGGAUGAGUCGUGGUUAGGGGUGAAAUGCCAUUCGAACCUAGAGCUAGCUGGUUCUCCCCGAAAUGCAUUGAGGCACAUCAGUUGACUGGACCAUCUAGGGGUAAAGCACUAUUUUGGUACGGGACGCAAGAGUGCUACCAAAUCGAGGAAAACUCUAAAUACUAGAUUGCCCCAAUAAAAGGGGUAAAGUUCAGUUAGUGAGAUGAUGGGGGAUAAGCUUCAUCGUUGAGAGGGAAACAACCCAGAUCAUCAGCUAAGGCCCCUAAAUGACAGUUCAGUGAUGAAGGAAGUAUGAGUGCAAAGACAUCGAGGAGGUUUGCCUAGAAGCAACCAACCUUGAAAGAGUGCGUAAUAGCUCACUGAUCUAGCGCUCUUGCGCCGAAAAUGAAUGGGACUAAGCGAUCUGCCAAAGAUGUGGGAUGUAAAAAUACAUCGAUAGGGGAGCAUUCCGCCUCAGAGGGAAGCACCGACGCGAGCAGGUGUGGACGAAGCAGAAGAGAGAAUGUCAGCUUGAGUAACACAAACAUUGGUGAGAAUCCAAUGCCCUGAAAACCUAAGGGUUCCUCCACAAGGUUCAUCCAUGGAGGGUGAGUUAGGGCCUAAGAUCAGGCCGAAAGGCAUAGUCGAUGGACAACAUGUUAAUAUUCCUGUACUACCCCUUGUUGGUCCUGAGGGACAGAGGGGGAUAGGUUAGCCGAAAGAUGGUUAUCAUUUUAAGGACGCAAGGUGACCCUCUAUACAUUGAUUCAAAGGUAAAAGAAGAAUCAAUUAUAGGUGUGUACAAGGUGGGGUUGGGGGUGGAUAUUCCUCAUCAUCUACUCUAGCACACAAAAAUCCAAGAUGGCUUAUCCAAACAUUAUAGGAUGCACAAAAUCAUUUAGGAGCGCCCAUAUCAUCAAUGAGGGUGAGUAUACCUCCUAGGAGAUAUACCAUAUUGUAUUAAAUUUCCAUUUGUGAUAUUUACAAUUGUUUUGAGGAGGUGAUGUGUGAUACUUUGUUGGAUGAGUGUGAUGUUUAGAGGGUAGUUCCUUUCUGGGAGCCAGUGGUUGAGUUUGAGAUUGCUACGUGUUCAAAUUUGCAGAAGGAAAGUUUGUUUGAGUUGCAAAGGGAGAAAAAUUAUGUUGGUGAAAACAAUUUCCUCAUAAAGAGGGUGUGUUUUCUUUCGAGGUUACUCUGAAAUUGUUUGAUUGAGUUGCAAAGGAAGCAUAAAGAUGUUGGUGAAAACACUUUCCUCAUAAAGAGGGAGUGUUUUCUUUUGAGGUUACUCCAAAAUUAAGUUACACCAUACUUAAGGGUUCAUGUGAUGUGGGGUGCAUGGUGUAUUGAUAACCCUUAGUUGACAUGAUGGACAUACACAUUGGAGUUAGCUUUCCCAUUGAUUGUAAGACCUUGUCUUGAUGCAUAUGUGGCAUUAUUCCUUGGAGCAUUGGAGACCUAUGUUACAGGUAUGAAAUAACUAAGAGGGGGGGGUGAAUCAGUUAUUGUAAAUUAUUAACAAUUUCUCUCAAUUUUAUCUUCGAAUCAUUAAUCUUAAUGGCAGCAAGU
rnacentral:ncRNA from 1 species